UGAGAAAAACUAAGAUUAAACAUCCUACAUGUUUCCAGGAAAAAGGAAAAAACAUUGGAAAACAAUUUUAGCCUAAGGUUUGAGAAUAAAGCCAAUGGUUCUCUAUUAAGGCUAACUGUGUAUAUUGCCUUUGAGGACUGCAAGCUGAACUUACAGAUUUAUAUGGACUUUACUUACAGGUUUCCUGUGCUGUUUUGCUCCAUUUUACUGAACAAAAUAAGGCUGAGGUAGCACCAUCCUUGUGGUUAGAGUGAAAGAAUGUGGGUAUUGAGACCAAAAUAAACAAUGUGCCAUUCUGGACAAACAGCUGUGGACAAUAUGCAGUCAGAGUAGCCCAUUUUCUCACACAGACCUGAGGAUAAGAUUUCCAGUUUGAAAGUGAAGAAAAUGAAUCAUUAUUAACAGCAAAUAGGAGUAUUUCUCAGCUGAAAAGCCAGGUGAAACUAUAAGGUCACUAUGAUUCACUUUCAUAUUAUCAUUCUUUUCAGAUUUUUUUCCCUGUGUUUUUUUUGUUAGAUGAGGAGCAACCAGUAAGAAAAAGCAAAAAGAUGUUUUGAUGUUGCCUGAGGCACCUUAUUUUCCAUUUCAUGCACAAUCACAAAUGCAGCACAUCAAUCAAUUUCUUCCAACCAGCGAAUCAAGAAAUCUUGGAGUGGAGAAUCAUUCUGAAAGUAGACCAAAUCCAGGACAACAUCACAACAGUGGUCGGAAAAAUGCAGCAAGCCAAGCUGACUUUCAAAAGAUGAUUCGUUAUCUGUUUCUUCAGAGGGGAGGCAGUUUGGGAGAUGGGAAUUAGGAGGAUGCUACAGUUACACAGGGCAAAUUUCAGCAGCUCAGUUUCAAACUUGCAACUAACAUUGAGUUAAACUGGUCAGGGUGGAAGACCAGCUGACGUACCAGUUUUGCCAGGUUAAAGGACCAGCUUAAACCAGCUAAGACAGCCAACCAACUUAGCCAAGGUGGUAUAUGCUGGUGGGUCAGCUGGUCUUCCCGCCUGAACAGCUAAGACCAGCUACAAAGUGGCCAAAACCUCUGUAAAACAAUCCUGCUACACCAGCCUGACCAGCUAAAACCAUACUGGGAGUAUUCAUAUUCAUAUCGAUUUGCAUUUACACAUAAAAUAGGUAACAUACAGUACUGUGCAAAGUCUAGGCCACCAUCACCAGCUUUGUUGUUUUAGCUAAAUUUAAAUGUCCAUCCAUAUUUAUUUUUUACUCUUUUUAUUAAGAUACAAACAGAAAAUACAGGAAAUAUGUACACAAAAUUAAAAACAUCAGUCAGUAUUUAGUGUGACUUCUCUUGGCACGAAACACAUCUUGAGCUUUUUUGAGGAGACUGAAGUCAUUCGAUUAGAAUUAGAAAGGAUUAAAUUUUAUUUAUGUGUAAGAGAUCCUGCAGUUGCCUGCUAUUGCUCAAGUUGAAGGUGAGUUUACCCUAAAUACUUUAAACUUCAGCUUAAACUUUUAUACUGUUUUUUAAUACUACAUACACAUUUCCUGUAUUUUCUGGUUGUAUUCUAAUAAAGAGACUGAGAAAUAAACAUAUGAUCACUACACAAUUGCAAAAACAACAAAUCUAAUGGUAGCAUGCAGACUUUUGCACAGAACUGUAUGUCCACAUUUAGCCACCUUUACUUUGAGUGAACUGUAACAGCAACUAUAAUGCCAUAAACAUUCAAUACUAAGGUAAAAGAGAGUUGUGCAUGCUUUCUAGUUUUAGCACAGAAUUCUGUCUCCCUUUUAAAUGUUUGCUACAGAUUUUUUGCAAGACAUUUUUGUCCAACCUAAAAACAACUUGUACUGACAUAUAUUAAAAUACAUCAGUGCCCUUUGUUUUUUUUUACAUCAGAUUGCACACAAGUAAUGUUUUAGUAAGGCAUGUUUGUUAAAACUGGUUAUAUUUCAUAAUUAAACUGAGGCAUAGUCCUGGUUUAAGCUCCUUGUCUGGGAAAC